GGCGGAAUGGCCGAGCGGUCUAAGGCGCUAGAAUCAGGAUCUAGUCCUCACGGGCGUGGGUUCGAAUCCCACUUCCGUCA
rnacentral:tRNA from 1 species